CGCAGCCGCGGUAAUUCCAGCUCCAAUAGCGUAUAUUAAAGUUGUUGCAGUUAAAAAGCUCGUAGUUGAACUUCGGGGUCUACCCAUUGGUCAGGCUUAAUUGUCUGCACUGGUGGGAUGGAUCUCUACCUUCUGAGGAACUUUCAUGCCAUUUAUUUGGUGUGAUUGGAAAUCAGGACUGUUACUUUGAAAAAUUAGAGUGUUUAAAGCAGACUAUCGUCUGAAUACAUUAGCAUGGAAUAAUGAAAUAGGACGGACUGAUUCUAUUUCGUUGGUUUCUAGGAUCACCGUAAUGAUUAAUAGGGAUAGUUGGGGGCAUUAGUAUUCAAUUGUCAGAGGUGAAAUUCUUGGAUUUAUUGAAGACUAACUACUGCGAAAGCAUUUGCCAAGGAUGUUUUCAUUAAUCAAGAACGAAAGUUAGGGGAUCGAAGACGAUCAGAUACCGUCGUA
rnacentral:rRNA from 1 species